rnacentral:rRNA from 1 species
UACGAACCGUGCGAACGUUGUUCGGAAUCACUGGGCUUAAAGGGCGCGUAGGCGGGCUCGCAAGUCAGGGGUGAAAGCCCACGGCUCAACCGUGGAAGUGCCUUUGAUACUGCGGGCCUUGAGGGAGGUAGGGGCGUGCGGAACUUCCGGUGGAGCGGUGAAAUGCGUAGAUAUCGGAAGGAACACCGGUGGCGAAAGCGGCGCGCUGGACCUCUUCUGACGCUGAGGCGCGAAAGCCAGGGGAGCAAACGGG